GCAUAUCAAUAAGCGGAGGAAAAGAAACUAACAAGGAUUCCCCUAGUAACGGCGAGUGAAGCGGGAAGAGCUCAAAUUUGAAAUCUGGUGGCCUCAGGUCAUCCGAGUUGUAAUCUAUAGAAGUGUUUUCCGUGCUGGCUCAUGUACAAGUCCCUUGGAACAGGGCGUCAUAGAGGGUGAGAAUCCCGUCCUUGACAUGAACUACCAGUGCUCUGUGAUACAUUUUCAACGAGUCGAGUUGUUUGGGAAUGCAGCUCAAAAUGGGUGGUAAAUUCCAUCUAAAGCUAAAUAUUGGCGAGAGACCGAUAGCGAACAAGUACAGUGAUGGAAAGAUGAAAAGAACUUUGAAAAGAGAGUGAAAAAGUACGUGAAAUUGUUGAAAGGGAAGGGCUUGAGAUCAGACUCGGUAUUUUGCGAUCCUAUCCUUCGUGGAGAGGUUUCAUUUGCAGCUUACCGGGCCAGCAUCGGUUUGGAUGGUAGGAUAAUGACAUUGGAAUGUGGCUUUUCGGAGUGUUAUAGCCUUUGUUGAUACUGCCUAUCUAGACCGAGGACUGCGUCUUUGACUAGGAUGCUGGCAUAAUGAUCUUAAGCCGCCCGUCUUGAAACACGGACC
rnacentral:rRNA from 1 species